rnacentral:rRNA from 1 species
AACGCGAAGAACCUUACCUGGACUUGACAUCCCUUGCAUAGCCUAGAGAUAGGUGAAGCCCUUCGGGGCAAGGAGACAGGUGGUGCAUGGUUGUCGUCAGCUCGUGUCGUGAGAUGUUAGGUUAAGUCCUGCAACGAGCGCAACCCUUGUUAUUAGUUGCUACCAUUAAGUUGAGCACUCUAAUGAGACUGCCUGGGUAACCAGGAGGAAGGUGGGGAUGACGUCAAAUCAUCAUGCCCCUUAUGUCCAGGGCUACACACGUGCUACAAUGGUAGGUACAAUAAGACGCAAGACCGUGAGGUGGAGCAAAACUUAUAAAACCUAUCUCAGUUCGGAUUGUAGGCUGCAACUCGCCUACAUGAAGCUGGAGUUGCUAGUAAUCGCGAAUCAGAAUGUCGCGGUGAAUACGUUCCCGGGCCUUGUACACACCGCCCGUCACACCAUGAGAGCUGGUAACACCCGAAGUCCGUGAGGUAACCGUAAGGAACCAGCGGCCGAAGGUGGGAUUAGUGAUUGGGGUGAAGUCGUAACAAGGUAGCCGUAGGAGAACCUGCGGCUGGAUCACCUCCUUUCUAAGGAGA